AGGAUAAUAGUUAAUUAUAACAUUUAAUUUGCAUUUAAAAAGUAUUGUACACCAAUUUAUCUUU
rnacentral:tRNA from 1 species